UGAGGAAUUUUGCGCAAUGGGGGAAACCCUGACGCAGCAACGCCGCGUGAGUGAAGAAGGCCUUCGGGUCGUAAAGCUCUGUCUAGCGGGAAGAACCUCCCCAUGGUUAAUAUCUGUGGGGACUGACGGUACCGCUGAAGGAAGCACCGGCUAACUCCGUGCCAGCAGCCGCGGUAAUACGGAGGGUGCAAGCGUUAUUCGGAAUCAUUGGGUGUAAAGCGCGUGUAGGCGGCUUGGAAAGUCAGAUGUGAAAGCUUCGGGCUUAACCCGGAAAGUGCAUUUGAAACUCCCAGGCUUGAGUCCCGGAGAGGAAGGUGGAAUUCCCAGUGUAGAGGUGAAAUUCGUAGAUAUUGGGAGGAACACCGGUGGCGAAGGCGACCUUCUGGACGGUGACUGACGCUGAGACGCGAAAGCGUGGGUAGCAAACA
rnacentral:rRNA from 1 species